GGUUGUUUAAGUCAUGUGAUUUUGCUGAACACUGAGGAGGAGAGCAGGAGCAAGACGCUUGUGUGGGCUUAAAGGUAGAGAUGAGAAUUGAGUGAACAUCAUCCUGGAGCCCAUGGGUGUCAUGGCAGAGGCAACAGUGCGGAAAGAGGCAACUAUUCCAGGAGGCAGGAGAAUCUUGGCACAACAAUGGCAAUUUCCCAGCAUACUCCUUCAUUUCUGCUGAGCACUGAUUGUUGGAGAACUUUUAAUGAAGUCCAUUAUCAUUUUGGCAGUUCAACAAGACUUCCAGGAGAGAAACAGAGAGCAUGGUCUCCCCUCAACGCAAAAGAUACACAAAGAGAGCUGGAGUCAAUGCUGGAGUGCAAAAGGAGAAGCUUUUUUUGGUCUCUGAGGGCUCAUUUAUCUUCAUAUCCCCAUUGCCUACAUACUACCAAGCACUCUGAAUCAACUUUAAUUGCACUUACUUCCAUUUGUAAUCAUGUUUCUAUUUUUGAUUAUGUGGUUGAUAUCAUGAAGACAAGGAUCACGUGCAUUUUGCUAUGUAUUUGUAUGCCCUCUGCCUCACAAAAUGACUUGCCCAUGGCUGUGCUUCAAUAAAUAGAUGACCACUAACCAUGUAGUGAAUAAAUACAGUUCAC
rnacentral:lncRNA from 1 species